rnacentral:tRNA from 1 species
GCUGGCGUAGCUCAAUGGCAGAGCAGCGGUUUUGUAAACCGCUGGUUGGAGGUUCGAUUCCUCUCGCCAGCU